GGAGAAGUUAAUGUGAUAGGGUGAAGGGGGGAUGAGUUUGACAGGGUUAUGGGUUAUGUGUUGCACGGCUAGAGGAGGGAGUGUGACAAGGCUAGUGAAAGUGAGUCGGACAGGAUUAUGUGACAGGGUGAGUGUGGCAUGGUUGGGCCCAAGUGAAAGGGUUAAUGUGAAAAAGGAUGAGUGUGACAGGGUUGGGGGUGAGUGUGACAGUAUGAGAGAAGAUGAGUGUGAUAGGAUUAGG